rnacentral:rRNA from 1 species
CGGGGUACUCGAGUGGCGAACGGGUGAGUAACACGUGGGUGAUCUGCCCUGCACUUCGGGAUAAGCCUGGGAAACUGGGUCUAAUACCGGAUAGGAGCCAUUUUUAGUGUGAUGGUUGGAAAGUUUUUCGGUGUAGGAUGAGCUCGCGGCCUAUCAGCUUGUUGGUGGGGUAAUGGCCUACCAAGGCGGCGACGGGUAGCCGGCCUGAGAGGGUGGACGGCCACAUUGGGACUGAGAUACGGCCCAG